rnacentral:rRNA from 1 species
UAGGGAAUCUUCCACAAUGGGCGAAAGCCUGAUGGAGCAACGCCGCGUGUGUGAUGAAGGGUUCCGGCUCGUAAAACACUGUUGUAAGAGAAGAAUGACAUUGAGAGUAACUGUUCAAUGUGUGACGGUAUCUUACCAGAAAGGAACGGCUGAAUACGUGCCAG